rnacentral:rRNA from 1 species
AGAGUUUGAUCCUGGCUCAGGACGAACGCUGGCGGCGUGCUUAACACAUGCAAGUCGAGCGAGGCCUCCUUCGGGGGGUGCCUAGCGGCGAACGGGUGAGUAACACGUGGGCAACCUGCCCUCAGCUCUGGGAUAACUCCAAGAAAUUGGUGCUAAUACCGGAUGUGACCGCUGACCGCAUGGUCUGGUGGUGGAAAGAUUUAUCGGCUGAGGAUGGGCCCGCGGCCUAUCAGCUUGUUGGUGGGGUCACGGCCCACCAAGGCGACGACGGGUAGCCGGCCUGAGAGGGUGACCGGCCACACUGGGACUGAGACACGGCCCAGACUCCUACGGGAGGCAGCAGUGGGGAAUAUUGCGCAAUGGGCGAAAGCCUGACGCAGCGACGCCGCGUGAGGGAUGACGGCCUUCGGGUUGUAAACCUCUUUCAGUAGGGACGAAGCGCAAGUGACGGUACCUACAGAAGAAGCACCGGCCAACUACGUGCCAGCAGCCGCGGUAAUACGUAGGGUGCAAGCGUUGUCCGGAAUUAUUGGGCGUAAAGAGCUCGUAGGCGGUCUGUCACGUCGGCUGUGAAAACCCGAGGCUCAACUUCGGGCCUGCAGUCGAUACGGGCAAACUAGAGUACUGCAGGGGAGACUGGAAUUCCUGGUGUAGCGGUGAAAUGCGCAGAUAUCAGGAGGAACACCGGUGGCGAAGGCGGGUCUCUGGGCAGUAACUGACGCUGAGGAGCGAAAGCGUGGGGAGCGAACAGGAUUAGAUACCCUAGUAGUCC